GUUGCCUGAUGAGCUGUUUGUGAACAUUGCUGUUGCAAUUGGUGCGCAAAUAAACAAGUUCCUGAGCUUCCUUCAAGAUCUGUCUUGUGAAAGAAACUUGAAGCAUUUUGUAGUGGUAUGUGAAACUUUUCUGCAUAUCCAUUCAAAUAGCUAUGAUCAACACACAUUAUGAUAGUAUGAUCAAUUUCAGUCUUCCACAUUUAAGCACUAUUAUUCUAUCUGACCGUCCCAAACAGUCAUUUUAAUUGAGGUGCUAUGUUUUCUUUCAGGCGAUUGCUGGACUGUGGGCUGCUGCAGUGAUUGGAAGUUGGUGCAAUUUCCUGACAGUUAUAUAUAUUGGUAAGAAGGCUAUAGCCUGUAACUUCCGUUCUUGUCAGCCACAAUUUUACAUUUUUGCCAGUCGGCAGUGAGAAAGAAUACUCUAUUCCUAUUUUCUAAAUGCAAGUAUUUCAGCUAAUGUAGUACUGACAAAGAUAUUGGAUUACCUGGAACAGGAUUUGUUUGUGCUCACACACUUCCAGUGCUCUACGAGAAGUAUGAAGACCAAGUCGACAAUUUCCUCUACAGCCUUCUUGGUCUGCUGCAAGAUCAGUAUCAGAAGCUCGACCAAGGUGUCUUGAGCAAGAUACCCA
rnacentral:lncRNA from 1 species